CAACAAGUCACAGCCGGCCUCA
rnacentral:miRNA from 1 species